AGGGAAGCAUGUGGACACUCGAACAGGAAACGUCAUAGAGAAAACUCAGCAAGGCAGACAGGGGAAGAAGGGCUUUGCUUAAUUGUUCUCUCAAAGCAAAGGUAAGGAAACUGAGGCUUAGAGGAGUUAUGAAAUUGCCCAAGGUUUCACAGCUGAAAUGUAUAAGGACCUGGACUUGCAAAUUUGGCACAAAGUUCUUCUAAUAAGAGGCCAUAAAAUAACCAAAUGAUUUUUUAUGUGCCUAUAGAACCAAAAGAACUAUUUCAGAAUGUCAGCUGAAAAGCACGAUAUUCCAGAUAGCUUAGAAACCUUGGCAUAGUGCCUUCCUGGAAAUCCUGGAUUGCAUCUAAAACCAUGUGGCAGAGGGAGAAACAACAGACAGGACAUCCUGAGAAGACUCAGGCUGGGACGAAAGCUCUGCUCUCCAGGGACAAAGCAGCAGGGGACCAGCCAUGCUCAGAAAUACUCCACUGGCCAGUGCACAUUUUUUUGAGCAAUUUCACUUGCUUCCUCACCACCUGUCCCCCUAACACUUC
ensembl:lncRNA TBX18-AS1 TBX18 antisense RNA 1